rnacentral:lncRNA from 1 species
UAUUUCCCAUGAGUUCUAAUGUGACUAUUAAUGCUCGCUCGCUCGUGCUGAAGGGGAAUAGUCCCUUAUCGUGCUGAUGGGAAGAAUAUUGGCACUGAGAUUGGCACCGCACGCGGACACUGAUUGAUAGAUCAUCUGAAACUGAUGUGGGAAUCCAGCUUGAAUUGACAUUGACUUGAAAAUCAAUGAGACCAGUUCUAAAACCCACGGUAUAUAGAAGAAAUAUUAACAUAUAUAAGAAAUAUUUUUUCAUCUAAAUACUGUGAUAAAACCAUUGAACCAGUAAAUUAGCAAUAAGUUACACAAAAUAAUUAUCCAUUAGGCUACUGAUUGUUUAUUGGCUAACAGAUCUCAAGGACUUUUAAAUUUCAUAUCAAAGUAUUUAUACUCAUCUAUUUCACUAUUCAUGAUGAACUGCAAGUAAUAAUAAUAAUCCGUUUUUGAAUUAUUUUCAACGACACUACCGUCUAAUUUUCGAAUAUUAGCUAUUAAAACUAGUACUCAUUGUGGAGCGCUUUCGGAUUAUUUAAAUCCAUUUUCAACACUGUGAGCGCUCCACUGUGAGUACUAGUUUUAAUAUCUAAUGUUAAAAAAUUUGACUGUAGUGUUGUUGAAAAUAAUUGAAAAACGGAUUAUCAAAGUAUUUCUUCUAUUUAUCCUGAAGCUUUAUUAUAAAUAUUGCUGUACAUGUUAUACAAUAUCGAUAAAAUUUGUUGAUAAUUGAUAUUGUGGAAUUUCUCCAUUAUUGAAAAAACAGUUUUAUUUUGUCACAUCCACAUUUAUUAGAUUUGUACACAGGAUUGCAAUUUCAACACAAAACAGCAGUCCUUUGUACAAAUCUAAUAAAUGUGGAUGUGUCAAAAAUAGAACUGUUUUUUUUUUCAAUUAUUAUACAAUUGGUGUAGCCUCCUAGAGUACGGUAAAUAUUUUAUUCUCUCUCCACUCUGGCUUUGAGGAGUGGGGGAGGAGAGGCCAUAACAACAUUUCAAAUACCGCUAUUACCUAACCAUAUAUUUCGAUUGUCAUUGUGAUUCAAAAUGAAUGAUCCUAUUUCAAACUAUUAUAUUUAUUAAAAAAAACCUAUACACCCACAAACUAAUUACUUAGAGAAAAUUGUACCAAAUUACUCAGAGAAGUAUCAAGUUUAUAACGGUGUAUUUUAAGUAUUCUAUAUGCCCUCCUUUUGAAGCCCGGACUACAUCUACAAAAAAGUAGGGUCCUUACACCAUGGUUUGUGAAAAUGCACAAAAAACGUUAACUUGUGUGAAUCUCGUUUUUGCUCCAUUGUUUGAUGAGGGUUUCCGGUCUCCCAUAUACGAACAUUAUGUCGAUUGACUUUACCUACUUUUUGUAGAUGUCGUCUGAGUCUCAAAAGAACAAUAUAAACAACAACUAUAAACUGAUGGAUGUGUUAAAAAACAACUGAUGCUUGUGUUAGCAAUUUGAUGUGAAAUUUGUUUGUGUGCAUAGUGUUUUUUUAUAUCAAUAUACAUAUUUUAUUGAAAGUAUGACAUUCAUUUGAAUCACUCUGUAUUUUGUAUCUGUAGUUUGAACAUUGCAUUUUUGAAGAAAUGUAUGAAUAAACAUAAAAAUAAUGGUAAGUAGGUUUCGGUUCUGCUUUCCAAUGAGGAUUUUUUUCAAUGUCUCACAUUUAGGAAACAUUUCCAAGGUUUUUGGAUUUAGAACCCACCAUCUGCAGAAUUAGUUACAGAUAAGCCACGCCUGAUGUACACGAUUUUGUAAGAUUGACAUCGAGAAUGUAUUGAAAGGAGGAAAAUUAACUGUUUCUUUUUGAGUGGUGUACAGCUGCGGUGCUUUAACAGGAUGUAACGUUCAGCAUUCAGCGCGUUUUGGAAAUUCAGACUUGAGCAGAGACAACUUAUCGGAAUAGAAUGGAAAUCUCAGCCGACAUCGAUUUAUUAUUUUCAUUGGAUUUAAAGAUGAGAAGAUGAAACCAUCGUGCAACAAGAGAGACGAGUCAAGAAAACCAAUGGAAUUCUGAUUUUCUCCAUGGUUUCAGAUUUUCUAGCGUUCAUUAUAUGCUCUACUUGGAUUCUCUGUUGGAUUAUCAUCAUAAUAUUUGUAUAAGUGAGCUCUACAGUAUUCAAAUCAAUUACAAAUUUGUCAAGUUCAGUAAUGAACAAAUCAAUACAAUGAUAUUCACUAGAUUGAAGAUGAAAGCUUGAAAUUCAACUAUAUGAUUUAUGUAUUAUUUUUUUGAUUUCUGCUUGAAAUAUAAACUUAGCAAAAACAGUUGCAUGUGCCGACAUUUAUUCCCUUUCGUAAUUUUGUUAAAUUUUUUCACCCAAUUGUCAAAGAAGACAAAAUUUUGGGUCAGAAAAAAGGUACAAAAGCGUUUAAUUAUUUUUUAUCGAUUAUUAAUAAAUAGUUUUCAGAUAAUUGAUUCUAUUAGCCUAAUUUUCCAACUGUCGCUGUUGUUCCUGGACGGUAAAAUAAUUGUUAAUGGUAAUUAUCAUAUUGUUCAAGAUAUGUAGUCGUUCUCUACUAUUGUUAGAUACAUUCGCAUUGUGAAGUAUCAUGCCAUCAAAUCAUCUGAUAUUAUCUUGCAUACCCAUUUCCAGUGUUUCAUUUCAUGUGAUCUCAAGUGUAGGCUCACAUAUGCUUUAUCGUGAGGUCAUCUCUUUACCAGAACACGACUUGAACAGAAUUACAUUAUUAACUCAAAUAAUAAAUCUUGUCCUCGGCAUAAGUUGACAUAUGUUCAGGCUGGCUCAUAUAAUGCACUUUUCCCACAAAAGGAAGAUUUUCUUGUGCAUUCGUUUGCUUAUUGUUACAAGGAAGGCUGAGAGAAUAGAUAAUUUGUAGGAUGGCAUAGAAGAUGAUGUACUCCGUUUGUGAGAAGAAUGUACUAUCAGUUUCGUUCCUGAGCAAAACAAUGAUAAACUGUUAUGCUUUUUAAACAGCUAGCACAGGUGGACAAUGUGAUUUGAUUACUGAAGUAUAUCGUCGCUAUUAAAAAUCAAUUGUUAUAAUUCACCAGCUGUUUUUCGCAUUGGCAUAAAAACCUGAUAGUAUUACUAAGUUGUGUAAUAUCAAGUUGGAUUCCUGAAAUUUUCAUCGAUGAUACAGUGUUACAG